AGAGUUUGAUCCUGGCUCAGGAUGAACGCUAGCGGAACGCCUAACACAUGCAAGUCGAACGAGUUUUAUGUUGUAGCAAUACAGCAUAACAUUAGUGGCAAACGAGCGAGUAACGCGUACUUAAUCUGCCCAAAAGUUGAGAACAACUAUAGAGAUGUAGCUAAUUCUCAAUAUUGUCCGGUGAAUGAAAAUAACCGGACGAAAGAUUUAUCGCUUUUGGAGGAGGGUGCGUCCUAUCAUGGUAGUUGGUGAGGUAAUAGCUUACCAAGCCUUUGACGGGUAGCCGGUCUGAGAUGAUGUCCGGCCGCGAUGGAACUGAGAUACGGUCCAUACUCCUACGGGAGGCAGCAGUGGGGAAUCUUGCACAAUGGACGAAAGUCUGAUGCAGCGAUUCCGCGUGGAGGGUGACGCAUUACGGUGUGUAAACUCCUUUUUUGGUGGAAGACGAAUGACGGUACACCAAGAAUAAGGGACGGCUAACUACGUGCCAGCAGCCGCGGUAAUACGUAGGUCCCAAGCGUUAUCCGGAUUUACUGGGCGUAAAGUGUCCGUAGCCCGAUCUAUAAGUCUGUUUUCAAAUAUCCUGGCUCAACCAGGAAAAGGGAAUAGAUACUGUAUAUCUAGAGAAUAUUGGAGGUUAGUGGAAUUUCCGGUGGAGCGGUGAAAUGCGUUGAUAUCGGAAAGAACGCCGAAAGCGAAAGCAGCUAACUAUGAUUAUUCUGACGGUGAUGGACGAAAGCUUGAGGAGCAAACGGGAUUAGAUACCCCGGUAGUUCAAGCUGUAAAUUAUCUUUGCUAGGUGUCCCCACACCAUUUCUUACAGAUUAUAUCUUUGAUAUAUUCUUGAUAUGAAAUUAUAUUUCAUGUUAAAGAUUGUUCAGAGAAAUAUUUUUGAGAAAUGGUGUGGGGGUGCCGUAAGUUAACACGUUAAGCAAAGCGCCUGGGUAGUAUAUUCGCAAGAAUGAAACUCAAAGGGAUAGGCGGGGGAACACACAAGCAGUGGAUGAUCUAGAUUAAUUGGGUACUAAGCCAAAAAUCUUACCCAGACUUGACAUGGAUUGUGUCUACGAUGAAAGUCGUAUAUUCGUAGCAAUACGAAGCUUUUCACAGAUGGUGCAUGGUCGUCGUCAGCUCGUGCCGCAAGGUGUCUAGUUAAGUCUAGUAACGAGCGCAACCCUCAUCGUUAGUUAAAUAUGUCUAACGAGACUGCCCGCGUAAGCGGGAGGAAGGAGAGGAUGACGUCAGAUCCUCAUGCCUCUUACGUCUGGGGCUUCAUAGAUCAUACAAUGGGUAGUUACAAUGAGAAGCAAUACCGCAAGGUGGAGCAAAUCUUCAAAGCUACCCUCAGUUCGGAUUGUAGUCUGGAAUUCGACUACAUGAAGUUGGAAUUGCUAGUAAUGGUGAAUCAGCAUUGUCACCGUGAAUAUGUCCCUGUUCCUUGCACUC
rnacentral:rRNA from 1 species